GGAAGCUUCCAGAAACCCUGUGGACUUACACAUUGGAAGAAGCUAAUCUUCUCUAAAGACCAGUGAUGUUGUUGCCAUGAGGACUGCUGUCCUGCGAUGUCUCUCGGUUUUCCUCGGGGAUGAUGAAAGAGACUUCUACAAUGUCUCUUUUGAUUCAGAUGCCGUGGCAGACUUCACCCAGGUUCCCGUGGGAUUAUUGCCUGUUAUUCCUGAAGUCAGUCAGCAACCAGGUCCGAAUGCUCUUCACCUUGAACCAUCCAGCAUGUUAUCAUUCUGGAAGGUACAAUUGUCAUGGUUGACACUGAUCAUGCUGUUUGCCUCAUAUUUGGACUGACCUGUGUCCUUCAUCCUGACUGUACAAAAUGCCUAAAAAACACCUUUGACUUCAUUCAGAGGCUGAUGCUCAGUCUGGUUUCUUUUUUAUGCCAUUACUUGUAUUUCUAUGUU